GUGGGUGUAGCUCAGUAGGCAGAGCACCUGGUUGUGGCCCAGGAUGUCGCGCGUUCAAGCCGCGUCACUCACC
rfam:Desulfomicrobium baculatum DSM 4028, complete genome.